rnacentral:tRNA from 1 species
UAAUUUAUUUCAGCCACCCCACUA